rnacentral:lncRNA from 1 species
CGUCUAAGCGUUUGGGCAAACGUCUCAUUACAGCGCGGAAUUGUGUGAAUUUCUAGGGCAUAUUUGAGAUGCCAUCUGGGCGCGUAAUUGAAUUGCGUCCAAUAAGCUCCAAUUGUCCGCAUUGUGGGCCGAUCGAAUGGCACUUAUCAUGCCAUCAACACUGGAAACUUUAUUAAACUCUUUGUGGGUGUGUACAAGGGGGCUCUAGGCGUGGGCGUGGCACCUGAUUAACACCCCCGAAGAUGGUAUGGUAUGUAUGUGUCUCUGGGUCAGACACUUGGCAAACAUUCAAAGAGGAAGAUCCGCAAUGAAAAUUACAUAUUUUCCGCGUAUAAUAAUUUGGUUUUAAUUGCAGCUACUCGUACUAAGAAUAGAACGUAGCAAUUUGGACAAAGUGUGAUCAUCGCCGCUCAUGAAGAGCCAUUUCCGCCGGAGGUUAUCCCAAGACCUGCACCCGUAUCCCGUGCCGAAAAAAGAUUGCCUUGAGUCACUCGACAAAUCUGCGUGCGCGGGUCGCACUGCGACUGCAGAAUCUUAUCUAACGAAAGAUUUGUUAUAUCAUAAAAAAGUAAAUGGGAUAGGGGAUUGUGUGGGUCUUAUCAUUGCAGAGGGGUGCUGAUUUAUCAUACCCAAGCUGUGACAUCAUUUGGCCCUAGAACAGAGAGUGUUCUUGGAAGUUCCAAAGACCAGAUUCGCACUAUGUACAAAUGUAUGUAAAUAUGUACACAGGUAUCUUUCCAUGACUGGCCAGAAAAUGCUUGAAACAGAAAUGAAGUUCGUUGUGAAAUGGUAAUUAACUAUUCAUUAUCAUAUUAUAUUUAGUUUGAUGGAGAAGUGGCGCGGGCAAGCAGAC